rnacentral:rRNA from 1 species
CCGCGACCCCAGGUCAGGCGGGACUACCCGCUGAGUUAAGCAUAUC